rnacentral:lncRNA from 1 species
CGAACACAGAACGAGAGAAAUUCAUAAAUCAAUGCCUUUACUCAAUCUAUUGGUGCAAGCCUCAGAAAGGCAGGAAUCUCUUCUAUGGGUUUUGCAUGGAUCUUAUAGCAUCUUAGCUUCGGGGUUGGUGAGGUGCUAAGCUUAAUGGUACAUUCUGAAAAGUGUAUCUAUCAGUCACCAGAAUGUUAACACAGACACAAAAGUUAAGGUAACUGGCUCUUAGAGGGCUUAAGGUAGCUCAAGAGAAUUUUGGUUCUUGACCUACAACACCCAUCUCUGCACCAUCAUGAGGCUCUGGUGGACCAGGGCAGCUCAGGCUACAGCAACUUUACUAUUGGUGUGACUACAGAGAACCGCAGUUCAGACCUGUUUCUUUGCAGGCACCCAGCAGAAAGCAAGGCGAACCUUUGCUGAAGAUGCCACCUACCUUCAUCUUUGGAGGCGAGGAAGCAUGUUGGGUUCUUUCCCUACAAGAACCAGAAGGGACCACACACAGGUUCACAGGGACACCGAUUUCACUUUCUUCUUCCUUUCAGUCAAGCUUCUCACCUGGGCCAGGAAGUCCUGCCUUUAGAGAGCUCUAGCCACCCAAGUUGAUUGCAUUUUAUUUUGAUGAAAAGAAAAUAAUGGAACAAAAAACCAGAGUUCUCACAGAGAUUCCUUCUUUGGAGUUAUCUAAAGUUUAUCAGCAAAAUAACUUUGACUAAGUUAAAUGGCGAUGUGUCACACACCCAAAACGUGUGAAGCAAUUUGAAAAAAUAUUUUAAAUAUGCCAUGGAUUUGUAAAUUAAUGCAGGGCUCACUGUGCUUGAAUUUCCAUUUCUAAACUGCUUCAUUUGCAUGCAAAGAGUGGGCAAUUUUUGUGUGUGUGAAAAUUUAGCCUUAAGAAAUGAAAAUCAAAAACUCAGCAACUUGAAAAGAGCUGUUAGGCAUAGAAAUUGUUUAAUCGGUUUCCAGCAGGGCCAAUGGUGUUGGCAUUUUGAAAUACCAGAUUGGAUUGGCAUCCUAGGAAAAGAAAAAAAAAAGAAAGAAAGAAAAAGAAAAACCUGAGCUCAGAAAAAGUCGCCUAAAAAAGCCACCAUCCACAAAGUGGUGAAAGAAGAUAGCCGAGAUAUGACAAAUGCCAAUGAAACAAAUUCUGCCAUCGAGAGAAAGCCCGAAGUGUGAAAUGAACAAAUGUUAAAUGUGAUAAAAUUUCUGUCAGUGCUACCCCAAUCAUCCACUCUGACAAAUACAAUGCCUGAUUGAAACAUCAGGUUCUUUUGUCUAAGGGCUGUUUAAAGACAUCCCAGCGCUGUGGGUGCAUCUUCAAUGCGAUGUUCUCACUUCAGACUGCAUUCAAAAGACACCUACUAAUUCUCUCCCUAACAAGGUUGAGAGCCCCGAUUUAAAUUUUCAUUCCAGGUCUUUUAAGAAACAUGGUGAAAAUAAGAUGUCAUUUCAACAUAGUUCUACGUGUGGUGGUAUUUUCAUAGCUCAGACCUUAAAAACUGGACCAGAAUACCAGAUUUUAUUAGAGACCAUGUUUUGUCAUCUAUAAUUAUCCCAAAUGAAAGCUGAAAAGCUAAAUCUACC